UGCCCUAGACUUCUCUUCAGCAAGCAUGUGGCACCUCCACUGAAAAUCUCAGUUAGGUCCAACCAUUAACAUGACUAUACCUAGUGCAUCUAACAAAUGAAUAUCCAGGCUUGAGUUUGGCUCGACCAACCUGACCAUUAAUCUGAAAGACACAGUGAGGUCAUCAUAUGAUGAAUAAUAAUUUUAAAACCUAAUAAACACCUGGCGUGUGGUGCCUCCAAAGCUU
rnacentral:lncRNA from 1 species